rnacentral:rRNA from 1 species
UACGGAGGGUCCAAGCGUUAUCCGGAAUCAUUGGGCUUAAAGGGUCCGUAGGCGGUUUUGUAAGUCAGUGGUGAAAGCCCGUCGCUCAACGGCGGAACGGCCAUUGAUACUGCAAGACUUGAAUUAUUGGGAAGCAACUAGAAUAUGUAGUGUAGCGGUGAAAUGCUUAGAGAUUACAUGGAAUACCAAUUGCGAAGGCAGGUUGCUACCAAUACAUUGACGCUGAUGGACGAAAGCGUGGGGAGCGAACAGG